ACGGAAGGCAGCAGUGGGGAAUAUUGCACAAUGGGCGAAAGCCUGAUGCAGCGACGCCGCGUGAGUGAAGAAGUAUCUCGGUAUGUAAAGCUCUAUCAGCAGGGAAGAAAAUGACGGUACCUGACUAAGAAGCCCCGGCUAACUACGUGCCAGCAGCCGCGGUAACACGUAGGGGGCAAGCGUUAUCCGGAUUUACUGGGUGUAAAGGGAGCGUAGACGGUUUGGCAAGUCUGAAGUGAAAUGCGGGGGCUCAACUCCUGAACUGCUUUGGAAACUGUCGAACUAGAGUGCAGGAGAGGUAAGUGGAAUUCCUAGUGUAGCGGUGAAAUGCGUAGAUAUUAGGAGGAACACCAGUGGCGAAGGCGGCUUACUGGACUGUAACUGACGUUGAGGCUCGAAAGCGUGGGGAGCAAACAGGAUUAGAUACCCUGGUA
rnacentral:rRNA from 2 species